GACGAACGCUGGCGGCGUGCCUAAUACAUGCAAGUAGAACGCACAGUUUAUACCGUAGCUUGCUACGCCAUAGACUGUGAGUUGCGAACGGGUGAGUAACGCGUAGGUAACCUGCCUGGUAGCGGGGGAUAACUAUUGGAAACGAUAGCUAAUACCGCAUAAUAUUGAUUAUUGCAUGAUAAUUAAUUGAAAGGUGCAAUUGCACCACUACCAGAUGGACCUGCGUUGUAUUAGCUAGUAGGUGAGGUAACGGCUCACCUAGGCGACGAUACAUAGCCGACCUGAGAGGGUGAUCGGCCACACUGGGACUGAGACACGGCCCAGACUCCUACGGGAGGCAGCAGUAGGGAAUCUUCGGCAAUGGACGAAAGUCUGACCGAGCAACGCCGCGUGAGUGAAGAAGGUUUUCGGAUCGUAAAGCUCUGUUGUAAGAGAAGAACGGGUGUGAGAGUGGAAAGUUCACACUGUGACGGUAUCUUACCAGAAAGGGACGGCUAACUACGUG
rnacentral:rRNA from 1 species